GGUUGUGGUUCAGUGGUAGAUCACUUGCCUACCAUGUGUGAGGCACUGGGUUCGAUUCUCAGCACCA
rnacentral:tRNA from 1 species